rnacentral:rRNA from 1 species
AACGAACGCUGGCGGCAUGCCUAACACAUGCAAGUCGAACGAGACCUUCGGGUCUAGUGGCGCACGUGUGCGUAACGCGUGGGAAGCUGCCCUUAGGUUCCGAAUAACUCCCCGAAAGGGGUGCUAAUACCGGAUAAUGUCUUCGGACCAAAGAUUUAUCGCCUUUGGAUGGGCCCGCGUUGGAUUCGCUGGUUGGUAGGGUAAAAGCAUACCAAGGCGACGAUGCAUAGCUGGUCUGAGAGGAUGAUAAGCCACACUGGGGCUGAGACACGGCCCAGACUCCUACGGAAGGCAGGAGAGGGUAAUAUUGGACGAGGGAGGAAGGCCUGAAACAGCAAUGCCCCGUAAGAGAUGAAGGCCGUAGGGUAGUAAAGCUCUUUUACCCGGGAUGAUAAUGACAGUACCGGGAGAAUAAGCACCGGCUAACUACGUG